rnacentral:lncRNA from 1 species
AUGUUCCUCAGGAAGAAAAAAAGUACCUCUUUGAUUUGAUACAACUUCCCCACCUAUGAAUUAUAUAUAAGCAAAAUUGUAUUUUCUCCUUCAGAAGGAUUUUCUGCUAAUGAAAAAGUCACUUUUCAUUUGUAAAAUUAAAUAUCUCCAAUGUAAGAAUGGAUUUCAUGAGACCUCAGGGGCACAUAUGGCAAGUGGCUUCUCUUCACCUCCCAAAUACGCUAAUUAAAGAAAACUUAACUGAGCUAGACUUGCUGAGACCGUAUUGUACGGUGUACCCCUGUGUGGGCUGGGGGAAUCCCAUGGAAGACAUUUACAGCAUAUAGGUGAGGCUAAGGUGUGGCAUAGCCACCAAGACUCUUGGUUCAUUGUUGAAUUCAAUGAUAAUUCAACAGGCAUUUUGCCUUCUACUGUAGGUCUCUCACAAAAAAAAAAUUGAUUUUAAAAUGUUUAUUUGGAUCUUUGAACUUCUUUGGCUGUUGUGUGGAUGUACCUAUCAAGCCAUUCCUAAUUUUUUAUUUUACUUGAUCUCUUUUUCUCUUAUAUUUCAUUUUUCUAACCCUUCACACAAUGGAACAUAGAAAACAAAAAAAUAAAUAAAAUAGACCCACCUCUCAGACAAGAUAGUUGUUGGAUUUUACUACUUCUUUUACUCCAAAAGAAACUGAAAAGAGUAUGGCCAAGUAGAAGCCAUGACAAAAAGACAGUCUGAUUUGAAAUGUAAACCCAUAAACCACUGCUUCAGAAAAUUCCCAUUCAGGAAAAGGUUCCAAGACAGGAAACAAUAUUACCAGCAUGCCUCCUACCCUACCUUCAAGGUACAGGUUUUCCUUAACAUCAGAUUGUAAAAAUCCCCAAGGCCUAAGUGCUUCUUCAGCACUUCCCUGGUAAUACAGGAAGUAUUUAUUUGCUAGUCAUAACAUUUUAUGCCCAUACAAAUGUUUGUAUCAUCAAAGCAUAAAAACCUAUUAUUUGGACAGCUUGUUUUUAUGGUCAUUUUCAGAGCAUAGUAAUGAGAGGAAUUCUAUUUCUGAAGAGUUUCCUUUACCACCCUGCAGUUCCUUAAAAUGAGUUUCUCUUAUCUAGAAUUCUGACAUAAAUCUGACUUCAUUCUACCCCUUCAAUAGAAACAGAAAACAGAAUGUGCUGGGCUUUUUUUUUUUUUUUUUUUUUUUUUU